UGAGUCGCAGCUCGAAAUAACGAAAACGGAAAGUUGCCUAAUUGAUCUAAGUGCUAAGUUUGCUCUACAAAAGUCCCCUCCAUGCUUCUUGCCUAGGACUCCUUAUAUACUGGCUCCUAGGUCGGUUUGCGCUUUUCCUCUUCUGCCCUUAAGCCGUCAUAGCAUAAAAAAUGGAGAUAUUCCAUUUUUUUCGAUCUUCGUAAUUAUCUUCAAAAUUCCGUAUUUAUCCGCGGAAACUUGACAUUUAUCUUUCCUUGCGAACCAAGCGUAAACCGUCAUGCGGCUUACGGGCUGUUGGUUAUGAAAUCGUAAGUUGGGCCUUGAGUCAUGUCUUAGGUCCCUUUGGGCCGUAUUCUGACUCGAAG
rnacentral:lncRNA from 1 species